rnacentral:rRNA from 1 species
CUACGGGGCGCUGCAGUGGGGAAUAUUGCACAAUGGGCGCAAGCCUGAUGCAGCCAUGCCGCGUGUAUGAAGAAGGCCUUCGGGUUGUAAAGUACUUUCAGCGGGGAGGAAGGGAGUAAAGUUAAUACCUUUGCUCAUUGACGUUACCCGCAGAAGAAGCACCGGCUAACUCCGUGCCAGCAGCCGCGGUAAUACGGAGGGUGCAAGCGUUAAUCGGAAUUACUGGGCGUAAAGCGCACGCAGGCGGUUUGUUAAGUCAGAUGUGAAAUCCCCGGGCUCAACCUGGGAACUGCAUCUGAUACUGGCAAGCUUGAGUCUCGUAGAGGGGGGUAGAAUUCCAGGUGUAGCGGUGAAAUGCGUAGAGAUCUGGAGGAAUACCGGUGGCGAAGGCGGCCCCCUGGACGAAGACUGACGCUCAGGUGCGAAAGCGUGGGGAGCAAACAGGAUUAGAUACCCGUGUAGUC